GGCGCAGUGGUGGACGUCCAGUUUGAUGAGGGACUACCACCAAUUCUAAAUGCCCUGGAAGUGCAAGGCAGGGAGACCAGACUGGUUUUGGAGGUGGCCCAGCAUUUGGCCAUUCCAGGUUGCUGAGGUCUUCACAGGUCAUAUGGGGAAGCUGGUACCCUUGAAGGAGACCAUCAAAGGGUUCCAGCAGAUUUUGGCAGGUGAAUAUGACCAUCUCCCAGAACAGGCCUUCUAUAUGGUGGGACCCAUUGAAGAAGCUGUGGCAAAAGCUGAUAAGCUGGCUGAAGAGCAUUCAUCGUGAGGGGUCUUUGUCCUCUGUACUGUCCCUCUCCUUGCCCCGAACCCAAAAAGCUUCAUUUUUCUGUGUAGGCUGCACAAGAGCCUUGAUUGAAGAUAUAUUCUUUCUGAACAGUAUUUAAGGUUUCCAAUAAAAUGUACACCCCUCAGAA
rnacentral:sRNA from 1 species